CAGUAGCCACGGUAAUACGUAGGUGGCAAGCGUUGUCCGGAAUUAUUGGGCGUAAAGCGCGCGCAGGCGGUUUCUUAAGUCUGAUGUGAAAGCCCCCGGCUCAACCGGGGAGGGUCAUUGGAAACUGGGAAACUUGAGUGCAGAAGAGGAGAGUGGAAUUCCACGUGUAGCGGUGAAAUGCGUAGAGAUGUGGAGGAACACCAGUGGCGAAGGCGGCUCUCUGGUCUGUAACUGACGCUGAGGAGCGAAAGCGUGGGGAGCGAACAGGAUUAGAUACCCCCGUAGUCCCUGUCUCUUAUAC
rnacentral:rRNA from 1 species